rnacentral:rRNA from 1 species
UGCAGUCGAACGGCAGCAGACCGCGACAAUCCCUUCGGGGUGCGUUUGGUGCUGGCGAGUGGCGGACGGGUGAGUAACACGUAGGAAUCUGCCCAACAGUGGGGGACAACCCGAGGAAACUCGGGCUAAUACCGCAUACGCCCUACGGGGGAAAGCGGGGGACUUUCGGGCCUCGCGCUGAUGGAUGAGCCUGCGUCGGAUUAGUUUGUUGGUGAGGUAAGAGCUCCACCAAGACUACGAUCUAUAGCUGAUUUGAGAGGAUGAUCAGCCACACUGGGACUGAGACACGGCCCAGACUCCUACGGGAGGCAGCAGUGGGGAAUAUUGGACAAUGGGGGAAACCCUGAUCCAGCAAUGCCGCGUGAGUGAAGAAGGCCUUCGGGUUGUAAAACUCUUUCAUCAAUGAAGAUAAUGACAUUAAUUGAAGAAGAAGCUCCGGCUAACUCCGUGCCAGCAGCCGCGGUAAUACGGAGGGGGCUAGCGUUGUUCGGAAUUACUGGGCGUAAAGCGUAUGUAGGCGGAUCAAAAAGUUAGAUGUGAAAUCCCUGGGCUCAACCCAGGAACUGCAUUUAAAACUAGUGAUCUAGAAUUUGGUAGAGGUUAGUAGAAUUUCCAGUGUAGAGGUGAAAUUCGUAGAUAUUGGAAGGAAUACCGGUGGCGAAGGCGACUGACUGGGCCAUUUUUGACGCUGAGAUAC